UAAUUGCUAGGUAUUCUAACGUGUUGGUGAGCUCGGUUCGGCAAUCCGACGAGUGUACGUGAAGGAAUCGAGGAAAGAGCCGGUUUUAGUACUGAUUGUCGCAGCUCGCGGCGUAGGCUUCCUAAAAUCACGGAACCGGAAUCGUAGCAUCGUGAUAGCACUAGAAGGUGGGUGGUGUCAUCCCGAAGCAACUGAGCUUCCCUCUAUGUCUGAGUUAUACUGUUGAUUACAUAUGC
rnacentral:lncRNA from 1 species